GACGAACGCUGGCGGCGUGCUUAACACAUGCAAGUCGAACGGAAAGGCCCUGCUUUUGUGGGGUGCUCGAGUGGCGAACGGGUGAGUAACACGUGAGUAACCUGCCCUUGACUUUGGGAUAACUUCAGGAAACUGGGGCUAAUACCGGAUAGGAGCUCCUGCUGCAUGGUGGGGGUUGGAAAGUUUCGGCGGUUGGGGAUGGACUCGCGGCUUAUCAGCUUGUUGGUGGGGUAGUGGCUUACCAAGGCUUUGACGGGUAGCCGGCCUGAGAGGGUGACCGGCCACAUUGGGACUGAGAUACGGCCCAGACUUCUACGGGAGGCAGCAGUGGGGAAUAUUGCACAAUGGGCGGAAGCCUGAUGCAGCAACACCGCGUGCGGGAUGACGGCCUUCGGGUUGUAAACCGCUUUCGCCUGUGACGAAGCGUGAGUGACGGUAAUGGGUAAAGAAGCGCCGGCUAACUACGUGCCAGCAGCCGCGGUGAUACGUAGGGUGCGAGCGUUGUCCGGAUUUAUUGGGCGUAAAGGGCUCGUAGGUGGUUGAUCGCGUCGGAAGUGUAAUCUUGGGGCUUAACCCUGAGCGUGCUUUCGAUACGGGUUGACUUGAGGAAGGUAGGGGAGAAUGGAAUUCCUGGUGGAGCGGUGGAAUGCGCAGAUAUCAGGAGGAACACCAGUGGCGAAGGCGGUUCUCUGGGCCUUUCCUGACGCUGAGGAGCGAAAGCGUGGGGAGCGAACAGGCUUAGAUACCCUGGUAGUCCACGCUGUAAACGGUGGGUACUAGGUGUGGGGUCCAUUCCACGGGUUCCGUGCCGUAGCUAACGCUUUAAGUACCCCGCCUGGGGAGUACGGCCGCAAGGCUAAAACUCAAAGGAAUUGACGGGGCCCCGCACAAGCGGCGGAGCAUGCGGAUUAAUUCGAUGCAACGCGUAGAACCUUACCUGGGUUUGACAUGGAUCGGGAGCGCUCAGAGAUGGGUGUGCCUCUUUUGGGGUCGGUUCACAGGUGGUGCAUGGCUGUCGUCAGCUCGUGUCGUGAGAUGUUGGGUUAAGUCCCGCAACGAGCGCAACCCUUGUUCACUGUUGCCAGCACGUUAUGGUGGGGACUCAGUGGAGACCGCCGGGGUCAACUCGGAGGAAGGUGGGGAUGACGUCAAGUCAUCAUGCCCCUUAUGUCCAGGGCUUCACGCAUGCUACAAUGGCUGGUACAGAGAGUGGCGAGCCUGUGAGGGUGAGCGAAUCUCGGAAAGCCGGUCUCAGUUCGGAUUGGGGUCUGCAACUCGACCUCAUGAAGUCGGAGUCGCUAGUAAUCGCAGAUCAGCAACGCUGCGGUGAAUACGUUCCCGGG
rnacentral:rRNA from 1 species